rnacentral:tRNA from 1 species
GGUUGUGUGAUGUAGAGGUUUAGCAUUCCAGAUUUUGAAGCUUCCGCACAGCGGAUCCAUUCGAAAUUUCUGGCCACCUGGGUUCGACUCCCAGCACGACCA